UGGGUUGGGCAGGAGCGCCUCGUUCGUGGCCAGAUAGCACCUCCCCACGAGGAUUUGCCUUCCCCACGAAGGCAAACAACUUCCUCGCCUCUUCCACCCCUUCCCUCGCCGCAACCACUCCCUGUUGUUCUCCGCCGCCUCCACGCCCCGCACGCCGCACCCCCUCCCCCUCAGCUCUGGCCCAUGGUGAAGCAACACCGCGUCCCUCGCCGAGUUGGACGCCAUCUGGCUGGAAGCCAGACCUCGAGCCCGACGCCUCUAGCGCCCCCGACAAUUUCCAUGUGGAUCCGGUCUUUAGGCUGCCAAUCUUUUCGGAUGUAGUUGGCCAGCGGGCUCGAAUCUGAAUGAGAUAAGCGAUGUGGGUAUCCGACGAGGAGACAAGAUUUGUCAGUGCCGGUGCAUUUGGAUGGCGGCGGCACCACUGCGUAAGAUGCGAAUAGCAGGGAUAGCGAGCUGGCGCAGUCCGAAGAGUGCAGUGAAGCCGGAUCCGCAAGCUUCCAGGAGGAUUAAAUCGGGUAAUCCACCAGAGCAAUAGGAGGAUGGGAGCUGAGGCCUGAUCGGGAUGCAGCGCCCGUCCCGGUCCCUGCUGCCGUCGGAGAGGCGAGGAUGCUGUCGGCCGCGCCAUAGCAGCUCGGCAGUUCCAUGAACAGCGGGGCGACCUAUGCUGCAGCCACGCUGUUGCACGGCUCCACACCCCCAGCAUGAAUGGGGAUGGGUAUGACAGCGACAACAGCUACAACGCCAGGCGGCCCAUGAGUACCCGACUACCUGCUCUCCUAUAGGCUGUAGCUACUACGUUUUGUUCUGUUUGAUGGAGUACUACUACUUUGUGUACCUGUUUUGAUUUUGGCAUAACAAUUAGAGUAAAUAGUGUUUUGCUGCUAAGCAUGGCAUGUUUGUUCUCUCAGGUUGUGAGUUUUCUAAUGUUGUUUCAUAACGGAAAAAAAUUCCCAGACUGGUGGAAAGAGGAGAAAGGUUGGGGCUCAGACGGAUACUUGUUUAAUUUUUCAGGGUUAAUGUCACUAUUCUAUCUUCUUGCUGUUGUAAGUUGUUGGCCUGCCCAUGCUACUAGAGCUGUCAUGGGUGCUUGGUUUUGCAGGUUGGAUUCUGGAGGAUCGACAACCUACAGGCCGGCUGGAUCAUGUGCCCGCCUGUUCUUAAUUUGAAACUCGGUGGUUGAUUCAUAGGAAUCGUUACUAAGCCCACACUCUACUGUACCUAAUUGUCAUUGUCACCUCAGUGGUUGAUUCAUGGGAAUCUUUACCAAGCCGAUGAGAAUGACUUGUGAGUUUCGAUGAUGAUCCCCUCGUAAAUGAAUUUGACUGAAUCAAGUCAAUCUCCACUUUCAAGGAUGUUCACAGUAACAAAGGCAUUUUUGGAAUCAUACCUCGACUGAUGUAGCAUGUGUUCCUAAAGCUAUUGACUUGGUAGCCAGAGAACUCACUUCCCCGCGACUCCUGGUCAUGGUACCUUGACUCUCAUAUGUUUGUUCAUCGGUCAUCAAGUAUUUUAUGUAUUGCAGCUUCAAACUAGUGUCUUUAAGAAUUUGUUUUCACAAUGACAAGAAACUUCUAACUCAGCGUUUCGUUUUCAUCUACUGCACUAUAUAUUCGUCUUGCAUUUUACAGUUAAAUUCAUCCACUGCAGUAUUGACUAAUUUCUCUUACCACAUGACUACAUUUCUUCAAACUAUGUUGGUUUUUAGUCCUUGAGCUACUCCCAAUAGUAGAUCCAUGAAUUUUGUUAUCCUUAUGUGAAAUAUAUUACUGACUACUUGGAAAAUUAGAUAGGGCUUUGGUACUGCUAUUUUUAUACCACGCACAAACUCUACAACACUAAGGCCAAAUUUUUAAUAUUGAUCAUUUGUGUAUUUUUUCUUCAUGUAUAAUUUCCAGUGUUGACAGCAUAAACUAAUCUGAUCCAUCAAGCAUUUAUAAAAUACCAUGGGAAUAUUUCAUUAGGCACCACCAAACUGACAAUUCUUCACUUGACACUUUCAAUGCUUGUCAUUGAGUGUAUGAUUGUUUCUAACUGAAUAGGAUUUGCUUUUCAUCCACUGUAGUUUAUGAUAAUCUUGUAAUCUACAACCUAAAUUCUAUUAUUGUUUGCUUUACUUUCAACUUUCAUUGUUUACUUUAUCUUACUUAGUGCAAUCUUCUUAUGUUUAGCUCUGCUUUUCUAUCAAACCUCACUUAACAUUUUAUUCUAACCACACAAUUUGAGAGCAUCUUCCUUUGUUUAGCUCGGCGGGAUCAAACACCACCAUCCUCGCGGACGUCCAACCAGCACCAUGCAACUAAUGGUGCUGCCGGCAUGAUGACGCCCUCCUCCGUGCUGAUCUAGCUUUUCAACCUGUCAUUCCGGGCAUCUGCUUUUGAUGUGCUAUUUGCUCUCUUUUCAUAAGUGUAGCUUACAUGAUCAGUUUUGUAGGUGCACUAUACUUCUGUGUUGUAUCUUUGUUUUUCAAGAAGCGGCAGCGUGCUCCUGUCAGUGUUAUUUUAUUGCUAUCCAUUGGCAUGUGCUACGAGAAGUGAAAAGGGUGUAUAUGCAUGUACCAAUGCUAAGUAAUUUAGCUACUUUCAUCAAUUCAGCAACAUUUGUCAGUGCAUGUGUUGCCUAGACCACAGA